rnacentral:rRNA from 1 species
GAUGAACGCUGGCGGCGUGCCUAACACAUGCAAGUCGAACGGAGUUCUUAAGGAAUGCGACUUCGGUCAAAUGACUUUUGAACUUAGUGGCGGACGGGUGAGUAACGCGUGAGCAACCUGCCUUUCAGAGGGGGAUAACAUUUGGAAACAGAUGCUAAUACCGCAUAAGAUUACAGUACCGCAUGAUACAGUGAUCAAAGGAGCAAUCCGCCGAAAGAUGGGCUCGCGUCCGAUUAGAUAGUUGGUGAGGUAACGGCUCACCAAGUCGACGAUCGGUAGCCGGACUGAGAGGUUGAACGGCCACAUUGGGACUGAGACACGGCCCAGACUCCUACGGGAGGCAGCAGUGGGGAAUAUUGCACAAUGGGCGAAAGCCUGAUGCAGCAACGCCGCGUGAGGGAAGACGGUUUUCGGAUUGUAAACCUCUGUUUUCGGUGACGAACAAAUGACGGUAACCGAGUAGGAAGCCACGGCUAACUACGUGCCAGCAGCCGCGGUAAUACGUAGGUGGCAAGCGUUAUCCGGAAUUACUGGGUGUAAAGGGAGCGCAGGCGGGAUAGCAAGUCAGCUGUGAAAACUAUGGGCUCAACCCAUAAACUGCAGUUGAAACUGUUAUUCUUGAGUGGAGUAGAGGCAAGCGGAAUUCCGAGUGUAGCGGUGAAAUGCGUAGAUAUUCGGAGGAACACCAGUGGCGAAGGCGGCUUGCUGGGCUCUAACUGACGCUGAGGCUCGAAAGUGUGGGGAGCAAACAGGAUUAGAUACCCUGGUAGUCCACACUGUAAACGAU